GGGGAAUAUUGGACAAUGGGCGAAAGCCUGAUCCAGCAAUACCGCGUGAAUGAUGAAGGCCUUAGGGUUGUAAAGUUCUUUUAGUUGGAAAGAUAAUGACGGUACCAACAGAAAAAGCCCCGGCUAACUCCGUGCCAGCAGCCGCGGUAAGACGGAGGGGGCUAGCGUUGUUCGGAAUUACUGGGCGUAAAGGGCGCGUAGGCGGAUUAGUAAGUUGGGAGUGAAAGCCCGGGGCUUAACCUCGGAACUGCUUUCAAAACUGCUAGUCUUGAGUGAAGUAGGGGAUGAUGGAAUUCCUAGUGUAGAGGUGAAAUUCUUAGAUAUUAGGAGGAACACCGGUGGCGAAGGCGGUCAUCUGGACUUCAACUGACGCUGAGGCGCGAAAGCGUGGGGAGCAAAC
rnacentral:rRNA from 1 species